rnacentral:tRNA from 1 species
GCCGUCUUAGCUCAGCUGGUAGAGCAACGCAUUCGUAAUGCGUGGGUCCGCGGUUCGAUUCCGCGAGACGGCACCA